rnacentral:rRNA from 1 species
CGCNGGCGGCAGGCUUAACACAUGCAAGUCGAGCGCCCCUUCGGGGGAGCGGCAGACGGGUGAGUAACGCGUGGGAAUUUACCCUUUUCUACGGAAUAACUCAGGGAAACUUGAGCUAAUACCGUAUACGCCCAUUUGGGGAAAGAUUUAUCGGAGAAGGAUGAGCCCGCGUUUGAUUAGCUAGUUGGUGGGGUAAAGGCCUACCAAGGCGACGAUCAAUAGCUGGUCUGAGAGGAUGAUCAGCCACAUUGGGACUGAGACACGGCCCAAACUCCUACGGGAGGCAGCAGUGGGGAAUAUUGGACAAUGGGGGCAACCCUGAUCCAGCCAUGCCGCGUGAGUGAUGAAGGCCCUAGGGUUGUAAAGCUCUUUCAACGGUGAAGAUAAUGACGGUAACCGUAGAAGAAGCCCCGGCUAACUUCGUGCCAGCAGCCGCGGUAAU